CGAAGCACCUUGAUUUGAUUCUUCGGAUGAAGAUCCUGGUGACUGAGUGGCGGACGGGUGAGUAMCGCGUGGGUAACCUGCCUCAUACAGGGGGAUAACAGUUAGAARUGACUGCUAAUACCGCAUAAGACCACAGCACCGCAUGGUGCAGGGGUAAAAACUCSGGUGGUAUGAGAUGGACCSGCGUCUGAUUASGUAGUUGGUGGGGUAACGGCCUACCAAGCSGAMGAUCARYASCCSACCUGAGAGGGUGACUGGCCACAUUGGGACUGAGACACGGCCCAAACUCCUACGGGAGGCAGCAGUGGGGAAUAUUGCACAAUGGGGGAAACCCUGAUGCAGCGACGCCGCGUGAGCGAUGAAGUAUUUCGGUAUGUAAAGCUCUAUCAGCAGGGAAGAAAAUGACGGUACCUGACUAASAAGCACCGGCUAAAUACGUGCCAGCAGCCGCGGUAAUACGUAUGGUGCAAGCGUUAUCCGGAUUUACUGGGUGUAAAGGGAGCGUAGACGGAGUGGCRAGUCUGAUGUGAAAACCCGGGGCUCAACCCCGGGACUGCAUUGGAAACUGUCAAUCUGGAGUACCGGAGAGGUAAGCGGAAUUCCUAGUGUAGCGRUGAAAUGCGUAKAUAUUAGGAGGAACACCAGUGRCGAAGGCGGCUUACUGGACRGUAACUGACGUUGAGGCKCGAAAGCGUGSGGAGCAAACAGGAUUAGAUACCCUGGUAGUCCACGCCGUAACGAUGACUACUAUGUGUCGGGCAGCAAAGCUGUUCGGUGCCGCAGCAAACGCAAUAAGUASUCCACCUGGGGAGUACGUUCGCAAGAAUGAAACUCAAAGR
rnacentral:rRNA from 1 species